rnacentral:rRNA from 1 species
CCGGCGCACGGGUGCGUAACGCGUAUGCAAUCUACCUUUUACAGAGGGGUAGCCCAGAGAAAUUUGGACUAAUACCUCAUAGUAUGCAGAGUUGGCAUCAACACUGCAUUAAAGUCACAACGGUAAAAGAUGAGCAUGCGUCCCAUUAGCUAGUUGGUAAGGUAACGGCUUACCAAGGCGACGAUGGGUAGGGGUCCUGAGAGGGAGAUCCCCCACACUGGUACUGAGACACGGACCAGACUCCUACGGGAGGCAGCAGUGAGGAAUAUUGGACAAUGGGCGCAAGCCUGAUCCAGCCAUGCCGCGUGCAGGAUGACGGUCCUAUGGAUUGUAAACUGCUUUGGCACAGGAAGAAACAACUCUACGUGUAGAGUCUUGACGGUACUGUGAGAAUAAGGAUCGGCUAACUCCGUGCCAGCAGCCGCGGUAAUACGGAGGAUCCAAGCGUUAUCCGGAAUCAUUGGGUUUAAAGGGUCCGUAGGCGGUUUAGUAAGUCAGUGGUGAAAGCCCAUCGCUCAACGGUGGAACGGCCAUUGAUACUGCUAGACUUGAAUUAUUAGGAAGUAACUAGAAUAUGUAGUGUAGCGGUGAAAUGCUUAGAGAUUACAUGGAAUACCAAUUGCGAAGGCAGGUUACUACUAAUGGAUUGACGCUGAUGGACGAAAGCGUGGGUAGCGAACAGGAUUAGAUACCCUGGUAGUCCACGCCGUAAACGAUGGAUACUAGCUGUUGGGAG